GGGACGGGGACGCGGAGGAGGGGAGCAGGAGGAUUGAGGGGAGACCGGCGCGGGGGGACGUCGGCGCGCAGGACGUUCACGCCCGCACCUUUCCGGCCUGUGGCGGUUUCAGCCCCAGACCGUCUGCCUCCGGAGGAUUUCUGGCCAUCCAAGAACAAACUUCCGAAUCUCCAAAUUUCCAAGCCUUGGAAUUGUCAAACCCACUCAAGUUGAGUCAACAAUGACCCACAGCACCUACCAGAAAUACUUCCCUCAAUUGCAAGACUUGGCAUUUAAAACUGGAAGAUUCUUACCACAUGUGCUCCUGGGCUUUGCGGACUUGAUUGUUUCCAUCUAGGCUUUUGACCUGUGUCACAAAGAAGUAGGAUCUAGGUUUUAGGAUAUAUAACGAACAUCUACAAAUCCGAAGAGGACAAACAAUACACUUGGCAAUAGACAUUGGGUACAAAUAGGUAAUUCACAGCAGAAGAAACCUAAAAUGGUCAAUAUGUAUAAUAUAUGAAAAGAUAACCCAAUCUCUUUACUGCUCAGGGAAAUGUAAAAUUAAAACAACAGUGAGAUAUAAUACCAUUUUACAUCUACCAGAUGUUGUGCUUCAUAUUUUUAUCACUGGAGCUUAGUAGAGGGUGGACACUCAAUAAAUGUCUGUGGUCAUUCUAGGUUGUGGUUUCUGGGGUGUUUUAGAUGAGCUCUCCAUAAUUAAAGAGAUACAAAUUAAAAACAAUGAUAUACUAUUUUUCACUUAUGGGACUGACAAAAAUGCCAAGCCUUAUAAUGAUAACAUAUUUGCUCUCUCUCUGUCUCUGUCCGUUUCUUUCUCCCCAUGUAUAUACAUAUGUAAUUUACAUAUAUAUAAUUUUUCUGAAUGAUAUACAGUGAUUUUUCUGAAUUAUUUGUUAGUGGUUGCGGAUAUGACACCCUUUUAACUAAAUACUUCAGUAUGAAUAUCCUAAGAGCAAGGACUUUUUUUUCUUUUUUUACAUUGCUACCAGCAUAGUAUGAGGUUUCCAUUGCUCCACAUCCUCACAAAUACUUGUUAUCUGACUUUUUGGUUCUAGCCACCCUGGUGGGCAUGUCAAUAGUGUCCUUGUAUAGGAAAAGGGAAUCAUAGGGUCACAAGAUACAUUCUGUUAUCAGGUUUUUUUAGUCUCC
rnacentral:lncRNA from 10 species